rnacentral:rRNA from 1 species
AGCGUACACGGUGGAUGCCCUGGCAGUCAGAGGCGAUGAAGGACGUGCUAAUCUGCGAUAAGCGUCGGUGAGGUGAUAUGAACCGUUAUAACCGGCGAUUUCCGAAUGGGGAAACCCAGUGUGUUUCGACACACUAUCAUUAACUGAAUCCAUAGGUUAAUGAGGCGAACCGGGGGAACUGAAACAUCUAAGUACCCCGAGGAAAAGAAAUCAACCGAGAUUCCCCCAGUAGCGGCGAGCGAACGGGGAGGAGCCCAGAGCCUGAAUCAGUGUGUGUGUUAGUGGAAGCGUCUGGAAAGGCGCGCGAUACAGGGUGACAGCCCCGUACACAAAAAUGCACAUAUUGUGAGCUCGAUGAGUAGGGCGGGACACGUGGUAUCCUGUCUGAAUAUGGGGGGACCAUCCUCCAAGGCUAAAUACUCCUGACUGACCGAUAGUGAACCAGUACCGUGAGGGAAAGGCGAAAAGAACCCCGGCGAGGGGAGUGAAAAAGAACCUGAAACCGUGUACGUACAAGCAGUGGGAGCCUCUUAAUGGGGUGACUGCGUACCUUUUGUAUAAUGGGUCAGCGACUUAUAUUCUGUAGCAAGGUUAACCGAAUAGGGGAGCCGAAGGGAAACCGAGUCUUAACUGGGCGUUAAGUUGCAGGGUAUAGACCCGAAACCCGGUGAUCUAGCCAUGGGCAGGUUGAAGGUUGGGUAACACUAACUGGAGGACCGAACCGACUAAUGUUGAAAAAUUAGCGGAUGACUUGUGGCUGGGGGUGAAAGGCCAAUCAAACCGGGAGAUAGCUGGUUCUCCCCGAAAGCUAUUUAGGUAGCGCCUCGUGAAUUCAUCUCCGGGGGUAGAGCACUGUUUCGGCAAGGGGGUCAUCCCGACUUACCAACCCGAUGCAAACUGCGAAUACCGGAGAAUGUUAUCACGGGAGACACACGGCGGGUGCUAACGUCCGUCGUGAAGAGGGAAACAACCCAGACCGCCAGCUAAGGUCCCAAAGUCAUGGUUAAGUGGGAAACGAUGUGGGAAGGCCCAGACAGCCAGGAUGUUGGCUUAGAAGCAGCCAUCAUUUAAAGAAAGCGUAAUAGCUCACUGGUCGAGUCGGCCUGCGCGGAAGAUGUAACGGGGCUAAACCAUGCACCGAAGCUGCGGCAGCGACACUAUGUGUUGUUGGGUAGGGGAGCGUUCUGUAAGCCUGUGAAGGUGGCCUGUGAGGGUUGCUGGAGGUAUCAGAAGUGCGAAUGCUGACAUAAGUAACGAUAAAGCGGGUGAAAAGCCCGCUCGCCGGAAGACCAAGGGUUCCUGUCCAACGUUAAUCGGGGCAGGGUGAGUCGACCCCUAAGGCGAGGCCGAAAGGCGUAGUCGAUGGGAAACAGGUUAAUAUUCCUGUACUUGGUGUUACUGCGAAGGGGGGACGGAGAAGGCUAUGUUGGCCGGGCGACGGUUGUCCCGGUUUAAGCGUGUAGGCUGGUUUUCCAGGCAAAUCCGGAAAACCAAGGCUGAGGCGUGAUGACGAGGCACUACGGUGCUGAAGCGACAAAUGCCCUGCUUCCAGGAAAAGCCUCUAAGCAUCAGGUAACAUCAAAUCGUACCCCAAACCGACACAGGUGGUCAGGUAGAGAAUACCAAGGCGCUUGAGAGAACUCGGGUGAAGGAACUAGGCAAAAUGGUGCCGUAACUUCGGGAGAAGGCACGCUGAUAUGUAGGUGAAGCGACUUGCUCGUGGAGCUGAAAUCAGUCGAAGAUACCAGCUGGCUGCAACUGUUUAUUAAAAACACAGCACUGUGCAAACACGAAAGUGGACGUAUACGGUGUGACGCCUGCCCGGUGCCGGAAGGUUAAUUGAUGGGGUUAGCGGUAACGCGAAGCUCUUGAUCGAAGCCCCGGUAAACGGCGGCCGUAACUAUAACGGUCCUAAGGUAGCGAAAUUCCUUGUCGGGUAAGUUCCGACCUGCACGAAUGGCGUAAUGAUGGCCAGGCUGUCUCCACCCGAGACUCAGUGAAAUUGAACUCGCUGUGAAGAUGCAGUGUACCCGCGGCAAGACGGAAAGACCCCGUGAACCUUUACUAUAGCUUGACACUGAACAUUGAGCCUUGAUGUGUAGGAUAGGUGGGAGGCUUUGAAGUGUGGACGCCAGUCUGCAUGGAGCCGACCUUGAAAUACCACCCUUUAAUGUUUGAUGUUCUAACGUUGGCCCCUAAUCGGGGUUGCGGACAGUGUCUGGUGGGUAGUUUGACUGGGGCGGUCUCCUCCUAAAGAGUAACGGAGGAGCACGAAGGUUGGCUAAUCCUGGUCGGACAUCAGGAGGUUAGUGCAAUGGCAUAAGCCAGCUUGACUGCGAGCGUGACGGCGCGAGCAGGUGCGAAAGCAGGUCAUAGUGAUCCGGUGGUUCUGAAUGGAAGGGCCAUCGCUCAACGGAUAAAAGGUACUCCGGGGAUAACAGGCUGAUACCGCCCAAGAGUUCAUAUCGACGGCGGUGUUUGGCACCUCGAUGUCGGCUCAUCACAUCCUGGGGCUGAAGUAGGUCCCAAGGGUAUGGCUGUUCGCCAUUUAAAGUGGUACGCGAGCUGGGUUUAGAACGUCGUGAGACAGUUCGGUCCCUAUCUGCCGUGGGCGCUGGAGAACUGAGGGGGGCUGCUCCUAGUACGAGAGGACCGGAGUGGACGCAUCACUGGUGUUCGGGUUGUCAUGCCAAUGGCACUGCCCGGUAGCUAAAUGCGGAAGAGAUAAGUGCUGAAAGCAUCUAAGCACGAAACUUGCCCCGAGAUGAGUUCU